CCCUGAGGGAUCUCACAGUGGCCCAUGAGUGACCUUCCAGCCACCUUCCAGGACAAGGUCCACACUGGACAGACAGCCACUGGUGGAGCUUGCAGGCCGUGUACUGGGAAGAACAGAGGUAGCCCUGGAAGUCCGUCGAAACCUCGGUCACCCUAGGAAGAAGAGGGAAAAUCAAACGGAGGGUCUAGCCCUGUCCCAUCCCUUCCUACUCUGUCCUGGAUGAGGAGGAACUGUAUCCCAUGAGAAAGUGGUGAGCCCUGGCGGGUCAGGCAAGGCGGAUGCAGGCGUCCCAGGAGGGACUACCUACAACUGAGAACACCAAGAGACACCGCUUUAACAUCCAGCCCACUCACCAAUGGUCCAGGGCGGCCCGUGUAUCCCAUGGGGCCAGGGGGCCCACGGAGUGCCAGCUAGAAGAGCAGAAGAGACAGAAGGGGUGAGAAGGAAGCCAUGUGAGAGAACUCCAACAACCCUAGGUUUAAUUAUCCGUCCUCUCUCUAAUCUUCACCCUGUGACCUUCACUCUCCUCCAUCUCCCCUCGGCCUCAGAAAACCCACCCUCUUUCCACACCAUUCUUCCCUUUCCACCACAGACCUCCCUCUACCAGGACCACACCCCUACCCCCCAACCCCCAGCCCCUGCUCACCCGUGCCUGCUGCAGAAUCGCCUGGGCCUGGGCCUCCUGGGCUGCCACCACGGGGCCCUUGUC